rnacentral:rRNA from 1 species
AUUGAACGCUGGCGGCAGGCCUAACACAUGCAAGUCGAACGAGCGGCGGAAGGGUGAGUAAUGCCUAGGAAUCUGACUGUGAGUGGGGGAGAACGUCCGGAAACGGGCGCUAAUACCGAAUACCAUUAGAUGCACCCAUAUGGGAGUAGCUUGAAGGUGAGGUAACGGCUCACCUAGGCGACGAUCCCUAGCUGGUCUGAGAGGAUGAUCAGCCACACUGGGACUGAGACACGGCCCAGACUCCUACGGGAGGCAGCAGUGGGGAAUAUUGCACAAUGGGCGCAAGCCUGAUGCAGCCAUGCCGCGUGUAUGAAGAAGGCCUUCGGGUUGUAAAGUACUUUCAGUCGGGAGGCGUUACCGACAGAAGAAGCACCGGCUAACUCCGUGCCAGCAGCCGCGGUAAUAC